rnacentral:ncRNA from 1 species
CUUGUCGGGGUGCCCGCGCGUAAGCGCAUAGGCUGAGAUCGUUUUCGAAUCCCGUAUUACCUGAUCUGGAUAAUGCCAGCGUAGGAAACAAGAU